rnacentral:rRNA from 1 species
ACGAAGGGGGCUAGCGUUGCUCGGAAUCACUGGGCGUAAAGGGUGCGUAGGCGGGUUUCUAAGUCAGAGGUGAAAGCCUGGAGCUCAACUCCAGAACUGCCUUUGAUACUGGAAGUCUUGAGUAUGGCAGAGGUGAGUGGAACUGCGAGUGUAGAGGUGAAAUUCGUAGAUAUUCGCAAGAACACCAGUGGCGAAGGCGGCUCACUGGGCCAUUACUGACGCUGAGGCACGAAAGCGUGGGGAGCAAACAG